rnacentral:rRNA from 1 species
CCAAUAGCGUAUAUUAAAGUUGUUGCAGUUAAAAAGCUCGUAGUUGAAUUUCGGGAUCAGUUCGCUGGUCGUGCCUCUGGUAUGUACUGGUGUUACUGGUUCCUCCCUUCUGACGAACUGUUAUGUCAUUUAUUUGGUGUGGCAGGGAAUCAGGACUGUUACUUUGAAAAAAUUAGAGUGUUUAAAGCAGGCUCGCGCUUGAAUACAUUAGCAUGGAAUAAUGAAAUAGGACGUUCGAUCCUAUUUUGUUGGUUUCUAGGAUUGACGUAAUGAUUAAUAGGGAUAGUUGGGGGCAUUAGUAUUCAAUUGUCAGAGGUGAAAUUCUUGGAUUUAUUGAAGACUAACUACUGCGAAAGCAUUUGCCAAGGAUGUUUUCAUUAACCAAGAACGAAAGUUAGGGGAUCGAAGACGAUCAGAUACCGUCGUAGUCUUAACCAUAAACUAUGCCGACUAGGGAUCGGAUGAUGUUAUUUUUAAUGACUCAUUCGGCGCCUUACG